rnacentral:lncRNA from 1 species
UGACUCAUUUGCGUAUACGAUGGCUUGGAACAAUACCAGAGAAAUAUGUAAAAACUCUGUAAUGCUCUGUGACAAUAGCUUCCAAGUAUGCUGACCUUUGGUAAAUCAAACAAAGGGAAAGUACAGUACUCUUUUGAUGAGGCAUUAAUGAAGGAUUAAGAACGGAUACAGCUGCAUCACACGAGCACUGUUUUAGACAUACUGUUUUCACUCUGUGCCUUUUCCAUAAUUACACCAGAAGCAAUGUGCGAGGCAGUCAAUAAGCAUAUGCUGUAACAUGUUUCUAUUUUACAGCAACCAGGAGCAGCAUGGAACAGCACAGCAUGUCCUGACCCCACCACUGGCACAGGGAGGCCAGCCCGAGCACCCCAACAUGCUCCAGCACUGCUUCUGGGGCAGCCCCAGCUGGGACUGAGGACAAAGUGGGGAUGGUAAGGGGUCCUGCUCACCUCUGCAGAGGGGACACCUGAAAUGCAUCCUGGCCAGCCACACCACUGAGAUGAAUGAAGGUAGGGUAAACAGAUGAGAAUAUGAAGCCUAGGGAAAAGAAAAAUAUAUUAAUAAGUGAACAUGAAGGACACAAACACUCAUGUAACUACUUUGUCACCAGGGCUCCAAUGCUGCACAGCUGCAGAGAACAGGGCUCAUGGAGGAGUUAGUUGGCUGGACCACAGCCUUUCUAUGUGCAAAGCAAUCUUCUAACCUGCAACUGCCCCCAUCCAUUUCAAGAGAUUCUAGAUGUUUGAAGUGGUGCUCAAAUCUUCUGAGGAAAUCUGUAUCCAGAAGCAACUUUGUCCACCAACCUGGUCUAUCCUUCUUCCUACUGUCCUAAAGAAAUCAGAGGGAACUGAAAACCAAGAAGGGUGGUCUCCAAGGUGGAUUCUGCCCAUCUUUUCCCCCUUGAACCACUGGAAUUGAAACCCAUGGGAUUUUUGCAAAGUAAGUAUGUAAAUUUACACAGACAGAUGUGCAAAGUUUUUGCACCUGCUCCGACACCCUUUCCCUUCCUUUCUCUCCUCCCUCCUUCCCUCACUGCAGAGGAGUUCUGGGAUUCCCUGGCUUCGUAGCAGAGGGCUGCCUGAAACCUGCAAAGAUUUGGGGGGGUUCUGAAAUUCCUGGGUGAGGUCUGUGAAGGAGAUCAGCUGCCUGCAUCUUUUGUGGGAAGAUAUAAGAGAGAAUAGGGACCUUUGCGUGAAGCACUCUGUCAGCUCAAGUCAGUGAUGAAAGUCCUAUUGAAAAGAGCCCCAGAUCAAAUCAAAACCUGAUUUCCUAAGACUGACAUUGCCUGCAAAUGGAGGCAGAUUGAGGUCCGUAGCUGGCCAGUGCUUUGGACGCAUUCUGCUUACUUUAGUCACACAAAAUGACGUAUUGAUGUAAGCUUCCAGGAUCCAAACAGGCAGCCC